AACGAACGCUGGCGGCAUGCCUAACACAUGCAAGUCGAACGAGACCUUCGGGUCUAGUUGCGCACGGGUGCGUAACGCGUUGGAACCUUCCCUUAGGUUCGGAAUAACUCCCCGAAAGGGGUGCUAAUACCGGAUAAUGUCUUCGGACCAAAGAUUUAUCGCCCUUGGAUGGGCCCGCGUUGGAUUAGCUAGUUGGUAGGGUAAAAGCCUACCAAGGCGACGAUCCAUAGCUGGUCUGAGAGGAUGAUCAGCCACACUGGGACUGAGACACGGCCCAGACUCCUACGGGAGGCAGCAGUGGGGAAUAUUGGACAAUGGGCGAAAGCCUGAUCCAGCAAUGCCGCGUGAGUGAUGAAGGCCUUAGGGUUGUAAAGCUCUUUUACCCGGGAUGAUAAUGACAGUACCGGGAGAAUAAGCUCCGGCUAACUCCGUG
rnacentral:rRNA from 1 species